UUUUUGGAGAGUUUGAUCUUGGCUCAGGACGAACGCUGGCGGCGUGCCUAAUACAUGCAAGUCGAGCGCGGGAAGCAAGUAAACA
rnacentral:rRNA from 1 species